GAUGGGACACAGUGGCUAUCUAGCCACUCAACACUGCUGAGAACAGGUGUGAGUUCUCAAGCUCACGACCUGUACCCAGAAACACAGAUACCUAAGAAGAGAUUCAUAAACAGCCAUCAUGCCAAGCAGUGAACCACCUGAGCUUACACAGAAAAUCAUGCCAAAUAUGUCCUGAAUCCUGCCCUUGCCCUGGAAUUGGGUCAUCAGGUAUCUGAAAGACUUUGGAAGUGGAAGCACCAAGCAUGACUCCACAGACCAACGGUCAGGAUGCUCAUCUGGAAAAUAUGAGCAUGAAUCACCUGAGCCUAAAAGGAAAACAGGAUUUCCACAUCUGAGGUCCUGUAACAUUUGUUAACCUCAUGCUAACCAACUGUCUGGAACAAGAACACAGCAAGACUGUCAAAGCUUCUGGAUUUGAUGUUCUGAUCCUAUCAGAGUGCAGUUUUUCUUCUCCCUCGUCUUCAAAGAGUGCUGUUUUCUGUCUUCUCUUUGAGACUCCCUAGUGGCCUACAGAAAGAGAUCAAGGGCAAGGAGAUCACCUGCUUAAAGGUAUAUGCUGUCAUCCAGAUACCAAAUAAUGUCUGAUACUAAAGAAACAAACUUCAUCAGUGCAAUGAGAUGCAGCUGUACUUUAGGCAACAAGAAUCAGGGAAACUGAACAGGGUGCUCUGCAAAUCAACACUGCAUCAGGAAGCAGUAACGUUCUCCAUUAUUGGGAAACCUUAUUUUCCCUGCCCUUGGGAUUCAAGAAGAAAAAGCCAAGGGAUCUAGAGUUCUGACCACAGAAGUAUGCAUCACCUAUGGACGUCAGCAAGGUUUCUAUGAAGCCAAGUGCUGAAUUCAGCCAUUUCUCUGCACACAGAAGCUACCCACUCCACAAUUACUCCACUAACGGAUUAAAAAAAAAAAAAAAAAUGCAAAUAACCCACUGAUGAUUUUGCGGUUUUUUUUAAACACAAAUUCCAAAAGCAUU